UAAUGUGAGCUUGACCUGGCUGCAAUUUCUCUCACCCCACUAAUCACCACCAGCAUUGAUUCAGCUGAGUAGGGGGGUGUCCCUUUCCUCCCUCACUGCUCAUGUAAAGUGUCCCCUGCUGGCUAAAAGAAGAAAACCAUCCUUAAUUAGAGACAGUAGAUAGUUCCUCUCCUGGCAGUAUAGCCUAAAGGUAAAGAUACAGAGAACAGUAUAUGAUUAUUUGUAACUGUUGUGCAGAUACUUGUAGGAGAGAGGGAUAAGGUGCUAGAUAGCUUACCUGGAUAC
rnacentral:snRNA from 1 species